UACGGGGGGGGUAAGCGUUGUUCGGAAUUACUGGGCGUAAAGGGCUCGUAGGCGGCCGACUAAGUCAGACGUGAAAUCCCUCGGCUUAACCGGGGAACUGCGUCUGAUACUGGUCGGCUUGAAUCCGGGAGAGGGAUGUGGAAUUCCAGGUGUAGCGGUGAAAUGCGUAGAUAUCUGGAGGAACACCGGUGGCGAAGGCGGCAUCCUGGACCGGAAUUGACGCUGAGGAGCGAAAGCCAGGGGAGCAAACGGG
rnacentral:rRNA from 1 species